rnacentral:rRNA from 25 species
UUGACCUCGAAUCAGGUAGGAAUACCCGCUGAACUUAAGCAUAUCAAUAAGCGGAGGAAAAGAAACCAACAGGGAUUGCCCCAGUAACGGCGAGUGAAGCGGCAACAGCUCAAAUUUGAAAUCUGGCUCUCGGGCCCGAGUUGUAAUUUGUAGAGGAUGCUUUUGGUGAGGUGCCUUCCGAGUUCCCUGGAACGGGACGCCAUAGAGGGUGAGAGCCCCGUCUGGUUGGACACCGAUCCUCUGUAAAGCUCCUUCGACGAGUCGAGUAGUUUGGGAAUGCUGCUCUAAAUGGGAGGUAUAUGUCUUCUAAAGCUAAAUACCGGCCAGAGACCGAUAGCGCACAAGUAGAGUGAUCGAAAGAUGAAAAGAACUUUGAAAAGAGAGUUAAACAGUACGUGAAAUUGUUGAAAGGGAAGCGCUUGUGACCAGACUUGGGCUUGGUUGAUCAUCCGGGGUUCUCCCCGGUGCACUCUUCCGGCCCAGGCCAGCAUCAGUUCGCCCUGGGGGACAAAGGCUUCGGGAAUGUGGCUCUCUCCGGGGAGUGUUAUAGCCCGUUGCGUAAUACCCUGUGGCGGACUGAGGUUCGCGC